CCUACGGGUGGCAGCAGUGGGGAAUAUUGGGCAAUGGGCGCAAGCCUGACCCAGCAACGCCGCGUGAAGGAAGAAGGCUUUCGGGUUGUAAACUUCUUUUAUCAGGGACGAAGCAAGUGACGGUACCUGAGGAAUAAGCGACGGCUAACUACGCGCCAGCAGCCGCGGUACUACGUAGGUGGCAAGCGUUAACCGGAUUUACUGGGUGUAAAGGGCGUGUAGGCGGGACUGCAAGUCAGAUGUGAAAACCACGGGCUCAACCCAUGGCCUGCAUUUGAAACUGUAGGGCUUGAGUGCUGGAGAGGCAGACGGAAUUCCUAGUGUAGCGGUGAAAUGCGUAGAUAUUAGGAGGAACACCAGUGGCGAAGGCGGUCUGCUGGACAGCAACUGACGCUGAGGCGCGAAAGCGUGGGGAGCAAACAGGAUUAGAUACCCGGGUAGUC
rnacentral:rRNA from 1 species